AGGACCCUGACCAGCAGAAAGCCACUCCUUAAAGGCACUCGCUGAGGAUAGGAGGCCUUCAGGACGGACCCCACCUGUACUUGUGACUCAUGACUCAACUGCUCCUGUGGCCCUAUCCAGAGGUGGACUCAGUGCAUGAGGACAGUGUUCCUUACACCUAUGAUUUCAUCCACAACAAGUCAGCAGCACCCAUUCCCUAGCCCCCACUGCCCACCAAAUUGUCCAUAAAAACCACAGCCUCUGAGCCUUCUGAGAGACUGACUGAUUUGAGUGGUAACUCCAGUUUUUUCCCAUAUGGGUCAGCCUUGUGUCAAUUAUAUUCUUUCUCUACUGCACUGCUGCAGUCUCAGUGAAUUGAUUUUGUCUGUGCAGUGGGCGAUUACAAGGUAUGAGGGCAGUUGGGAGGGGGUACUGGAACCAAUCCCCCAUGGAUACUGAGGGAGGACUGCAGCAGUCCUCUCCCCACCAUAAUAAUUCUGUUGGAUUUGGUUUUUAGUUGGCAUAGUCUAUCUUUGUAUGUAGAAUUCUAAAAAUUGAUUUUAUAUUAUUUUAUUCUAACAGGAGAUAUUUUCUGAAUACCCUACCUCUGCCUCUCCUAUCCCUUGCCACUCCUCUUGUUCAGGACCUUAAUAACCUCAUCUUUCCCCAUUACAUUACUAUCUAGAUUCCUCAGCUCCCAUCUUAGUUAAUUUCUCCUUCCUUCCUCCCUUCCUCCCUCCCUCCUUCCUUCCUUCCUUCCUCUCUCUUUCUUUCUUUCUCUCUUUUUCUUUCUCUCUCUCUUCUCUCUCCUCUCUCUCUUCUCUUUCUUUCUUUUUUUUUCUUGUUGCUCAGGCUACAGUGCAAUGGUGCGAUCUCGGCUCACUGCAACCUUCACCUACUGAGUUCAAGCAAUUCUCCUGCCUCAGCCUCCCAAGUAGCUGAGAUUACAGACGUCUGC
rnacentral:lncRNA from 10 species